rnacentral:rRNA from 1 species
UACGAAGGGGGCUAGCGUUGCUCGGAAUCACUGGGCGUAAAGCGCACGUAGGCGGAUUGUUAAGUCAGGGGUGAGAUCCUGGAGCUCAACUCCAGAACUGCCUUUGAUACUGGCAAUCUCGAGUUCGGGAGAGGUGAGUGGAACUGCGAGUGUAGAGGUGAAAUUCGUAGAUAUUCGCAAGAACACCAGUGGCGAAGGCGGCUCACUGGCCCGAUACUGACGCUGAGGUGCGAAAGCGUGGGGAGCAAACAGG